CCUCCUGGAUGCAGAGCUAAUGGUUCAGCAGGCCACGCACUUCUGGAAAGUUCCACACACAGAGGAAGUGCUCACAGGAAAGGACCUUUGAUUCCAUCAGGUGAUGGUGUCACCAGUGUGUGUCGUGGUGACCUCUCUGUUGACCUCAUCUCCACCACAUGCUCACAGCUCUUGGUGACCCAUUGAAAUGAUGCCUCCAUCUCAGGCCUCAAGAACCAGACCCUAAUGAUGGUGCAGUCAUGGCGACAGGACCUGGUACAUGGAAACUGAAGACUCUUCAGGUCCCUUGAAGAAGUUCAUGUCUAUGGGGAAAGGGCACCACAUCCUCUUUCCCUUUCCAAACAGCAGGGCGAGGCCUCUGUCCAGGAGCUCAUCCAGAUGCAAUUUGAGGUGGAGAACUGGCAGAGGGUCACGGCCGAUGACGUACAAGCCCCUCUCCCAAUAAAGUUGUGAACCCCUCAGACUGCGCACCCGUUUCAAUUUCCCAUGAAACACAUUUACAUUGAUCAAAGUGUGAUGUUGAAACACAGCGGGAGGCGGCCAGCUCUCGGUACAUGAGGAAUGAGUGUUAAAUGAGCGCGGGGGGCAGCAUGUGCUGCAGCGUUACCAUAGAGACAACUGUGUGGUCCCAGGGUCAGGUCAGAUCAUCGCAGGUAGUGUCAGUCUGUUGAGAGAGAAAAAAAGAGACAGACAGAGAGAGAGAGGGAGAGAGAGAUCAUUGAUGCACCACAUGCCCUACAUGGAUUGAGCCAUGCCUAUCAGGGUUUUUAUUUGAAAAUGCAAAACUCUACUGGUACUGGAUGUCACUGAACCACAGAACACUAAAUGGCACAUGGAUAUUAACUUCUUGUUUGCGAUUCAGCAUUCCUCUAAUUAAACUCGGAAAUGAUUGUGUAUACCCCGCCUCCAUUCUGUGAUGUGCCUACAG